UACGGGGGGGGCAAGCGUUGUUCGGAAUUACUGGGCGUAAAGGGCUCGUAGGCGGCCAACUAAGUCAGACGUGAAAUCCCUGGGCUCAACCCAGGAACUGCGUCCGAUACUGGUUGGCUUGAAUCCGGGAGAGGGAUGCGGAAUUCCAGGUGUAGCGGUGAAAUGCGUAGAUAUCUGGAGGAACACCGGUGGCGAAGGCGGCAUCCUGGACCGGCAUUGACGCUGAGGCGCGAAAGCCAGGGGAGCAAACGGG
rnacentral:rRNA from 1 species